rnacentral:rRNA from 1 species
CAGUCGCCGCGGUAAUACGUAUGUCACGAGCGUUAUCCGGAUUUAUUGGGCGUAAAGCGCGUCUAGGUGGUUAUAUAAGUCUGAUGUGAAAAUGCAGGGCUCAACUCUGUAUUGCGUUGGAAACUGUAUAACUAGAGUACUGGAGAGGUAAGCGGAACUACAAGUGUAGAGGUGAAAUUCGUAGAUAUUUGUAGGAAUGCCGAUGGGGAAGCCAGCUUACUGGACAGAUACUGACGCUGAAGCGCGACAGCGUGGGUAGCAAACAGGAUUAGAUACCCCGGUAGUCCCUGUCUCUUAUACA